rnacentral:misc_RNA from 1 species
GAUGAAGAACGCAGCGAAAUGCGAUAAGUAGUGUGAAUUGCAGAAUUCAGUGAAUCAUCGAAUCUUUGAACGCACAUUGCGCCCCUUGGUAUCCCGAGGGGCAUGCCUGUUCGAGCGUCAUUUCACCACUCAAGCCUGGCUUGGUGUUGGGCGACGUCCUCUUUGGGGACGCGCCUCGAAACGCUCGGCGGCGUGGCACCGGCUUUAAGCGUAGCAGAAUCUUUCGCUUUGGAAGUCGGGGCCCCGUCUGCCGGAAGACCUGCUCGCAAGGUUGACCUCGGAUCAGGCAGGGAUACCCGCUGAACUUAAGCAUAUAAUAAGCGGAGGA